UUUUUAUAAGGGAAGGAGAAGAAACAAAACCUCCGCUGGAUAACAAAUUAUUCGAGGCUUAAUCUGCCCUCUCAGUUGUAAGGGAAUAAUUAGUGACUGAUUCCAUCUGCACGUUGCAACAUGCUGGAAAGCGGAUUAUUUUACUUUUUCAUGAUGAAGCUGUUGCCAUCAGUGACGUUGCCUGGCUUGCAGUGAAGGGGAACAAGGGGCACAAGAAACUGACCUAAAUAAGACUCUCCGUGUAGACAGAGUGUUCUGGUGGAGGCUCUCUGAUGGAGAAGGGCUGUUUAAUUGAUACGACCAGAAGCACAAAGCAUGCGUGAAGAGUGGAUACCCAACGGUCCUUCUGUCAAGGCGGCAAGCCAGUGCGGUAAGACAGAGACCUUUCGGGUUGAGCUGCCGUGUAAGCAGAUUAGCUGCUGUUUAUCUUUCAUUUUGCCAGCUGUUUUGAGUAUCAUAAAUACUUUUAUCUGUACUUCAACCUCAGCCUACCCAGUGAUUUGAACAAGUUUUGGUUACGAGAUGUCCACAGCACCCCUAGGGGUGGUGAACUAAACCCGGGUAGAGCGCUGCAGCAGCAUGCAGCCCCUCUCCCACCACCUUCCCUGGAGCAUCUGACUUUGGGGCAAGGUGGAGUGGAGACAGGCACCAGAACCACCAUCAGCUGCUGCCAGUUUACACCCCACAGGUCCUUAAUGCCCAUUCCCCCAAUGGACGGAUUUCGUUCAUGUAAUCCACGACUACCCAGCAACAAGUGAUGAAGCCACACAGCUCAGCUCCAGCCUGCAGCUCACUUGGUAUUCAUACAGCACUGACCGCCCAAAACACUUUUGCUUGAGCAUACUAAUCUUCUUUAUUCCGUUUUUAGAGAAUUCGAGUCAAAUGCCAUCAUUAAUACUUACUGUACAGAAACAUUAACAGCUUUUUCUUCUUUUUAUUAUCAGUAAAUUUUUGUUCCUGGCAGUUCAGUAUUGUACAUUCAGUACAGAAUGAAUACUUCAAACCCACAAGAUUUUCUUACUCAAAAUUGGAUGAGAAUAGUGCAGCUCCAUUUGGUAGAUAUUCAUGCGGAAUUUUACUUCUUCUCUUGUACAACUUUAUGGAAGACGAAUUUGUUUGGAAAAAAAAGAUCCCAAACUAGCACUCUGUGUUCAGACUCCUAGGCCAAAGUCUUAACCGAAUGCCUUACAUUUG